GAUAAACGCUGGCGGCGUGCUUAACACAUGCAAGUCGAACGAAGUUUUUCUUUCGGGUGGAACUUAGUGGCGGACGGGUGAGUAACGCGUGGGUAACCUGCCCUGUACAGGGGGACAACAGCUGGAAACGGCUGCUAAUACCGCAUAAGCCCUUAGCACUGCAUGGUGCAUAGGGAAAAGGAGCAAUCCGGUACAGGAUGGACCCGCGUCUGAUUAGCCAGUUGGCAGGGUAACGGCCUACCAAAGCGACGAUCAGUAGCCGAUCUGAGAGGAUGUACGGCCACAUUGGAACUGAGACACGGCCCAGACUCCUACGGGAGGCAGCAGUGGGGAAUAUUGCACAAUGGAGGAAACUCUGAUGCAGCGACGCCGCGUGAGUGAAGAAGUAUUUCGGUAUGUAAAGCUCUAUCAGCAGGAAAGAAAAUGACGGUACCUGACGAAGAAGCACCGGCUAAAUACGUG
rnacentral:rRNA from 1 species